rnacentral:lncRNA from 1 species
AGUAGUGAGCCUGUGGAUUCUGAGAGCCAACAGACAGAAGAGUAGCAGUGGACCCCAGGAGGCACAGGGAGGCUCCUCACUCUGAAAAGAAACACUCUCCCCAGCAAUAUGCCCUUCCCUUCACCUAUACAAUAAGAAUGACAGUGAAAACAAUACAAAUCAAAAUCUACAUAUACUCAGAGAAAAUGCAGCCAGGUAUGCGUGUUUU